CGCAUCUGUGCAUGCAGCAUAUCAAUAAGCGGAGGAAAAGAAACUAACAAGGAUUCCCUUAGUAACGGCGAGUGAGGCGGGAAGAGCUCAAAUUUGAAAUCUUCAAGGUUUUACCUUGACGAAUUGUAGUUUAAAGAAGUGUUUUCUGUUGAAGUUUUGGUAAAAGUUCUUUGGAAUAGGACAUCAUAGAGGGUGAGAAUCCCGUAUUUGACCAUUAUUUUCAGCUGUGUGAUACACUUUCAAAGAGUCGGAUUAGUUUGGGAAUGCAGUCCAAAAUGGGUGGUAAAUUUCAUCUAAAGCUAAAUAUUGGCGAGAGACCGAUAGCGAACAAGUACCGUGAGGGAAAGAUGAAAAGAACUUUGAAAAGAGAGUUAAACAGUACGUGAAAUUGUCAAAAGGGAAGCGUUUGACACCAGUGUUGUUUUCUCGAAAAUCAAUUAAAAAGAGUUAGAUUUUGUUGUGUAUUGACCUUAACAGCUUGCAUUUCAAUUUUCUUGCUUUUUUUAAUGCACUUUUCGUUUAACAAGUCAACAUCAGUUUCUUUUGUUGUAAAAGGUCAUUGGAAGGUGGCUUUCUUUUCGGAGAAAGUGUUUAUAGCCUUUGACUCCUGCAAUCGGAGAGACUGGGGUCUGCAGCGUAGAUCCUUCGGGGUUAGAUACAUUUGUGCUAAGUUAUAGCUUUUUAUAGACAACUUGUUGACUAUGAUUAGUCUUGUAGCUUACUCGCUUAUGCUAUUUUACCUACGCUUAGGAUGUUGAUGUGAUACUGCGAGCA
rnacentral:rRNA from 1 species